CAACACAAGGCUUUCUUAGCACCCUUAUAGAAUAAGUUCUUAAAGGAUUUAGCUUUUACUAGCUUUUUUCCAGUUUUGGCAUAUUCUAUUAUUGCUUAUCUAGUGCAAAUCUGAGAUUCUUGUCGGGUUUUUUUCCAUAAAUUCAUGCUGAAAACUUUUUUUUGAGGAGACAGUAUGUAUGGUCCAAAUUUGAUAGAUAAGUAAUUUGUAAUUUAUGUCUAGGAAAAUAUUCAGAAUAGAAAUUUGAAAACUACUACUAGUCUUGAUACGGCUGCUGAUCAUAGUGUGUAUGAUGUCUACAACUUCAACGUCAGUGUGUUUAACGAGCCUACAAUAAAAGUUGGAAUCCAAGACUGCUGUGUUACGGAAGCAAACACUCAUACAGAUCCAAACAAAAAAGAGUAGGGAUGUCAUAUUGUACCUUUGUUCUUUGAUUAUAAGCAAGUAUAGUACUGUCUACAUUCCCUACCAUUCCGUUAUGACAAUCCAGGGAAUGUGUAUAUCUGGACUGCUAUUUUUUUUCAUGCAAUAAACAUAGUUGCUGUCAUCUCCUGGUUUUUCUUUGGAAAACUUCUACAUAACUGGUAAAAAUAAAGAUUGUGUUUCAUGAAGGAAACGCUCUUCAAAAUUCUCUU